GUGUCAAAGCAACUGAACAACAUUAAUUAGGAAAACUGUGUGUCAAUAAUGCAAAAUGACAGUUAAAGGCAGUUCAUCAUUGAAUUCAGUGAUGUCAUUCAUCUCAGUUCAGUUUAAAUAGUAUCUGUGCAAUCAUUUGCAAUCAAGUCAACGAUAUCGCUGUAAAUGAAGUGUCCCCAACUAAGCAAGCCAGAGGCGACAGCGGUCAGUCGGGGGGCCAGUUCUCCUCUGGCCAGACGAAACCAGCAGUUCAAUUCCAGGCUGCAGCAAAGUCAGAUUGUGCAGAAGAAUCAUCUGUUUCCUGUGGUCUUGUCCCGCACCUGAUGUACUUGCUACAUCGUUAGAAGAAUGGCAUCUACGCUAAUAUUAGUCUGUUUCUCUCUUAUUAACCAGUUGAGUCCUCUGCACAAUAUGACUUUGCUGUAGCCUGGAUUUGAACUGCUGGUUUCGUCUGGUCAGAGGAGAACUGACCCCUCGACUGAGCCUGGUUUCUCCCAAGGUUUUUUUCUCCAUUCUGUCACUGAUGGAGUUUUGGUUCCUUGCCGCUGUCGCCUCUGGCUUGCUUAGUUGGGGACACUUCAUUUACAGAGAUAUCGUUGACUUGAUUGCACAGAUACCAUUUAAAUUUAACUGAGCUGGAUAAUGACAUCACUGAAUUCAAUGAUGAACUGCCUUUAACUGAAAAAUUUGUUUACUAUUUUUUUUUUUUGCAUUAUUGACACACUAUUUUCCUAAUUAAUGCUCUACAGUUGCUUUGACACAAUCUGUAUUGUUAAAAGCGCUAUAUAAAUAUGAGGUGACUUGAUAUGACUUGAAUUUUGCACCGGACACUAAAAUUACAGCAUGCAGGAUGUGGCAUGACUUCAAGUAAGGGUUGUGAACCUGUCAUGGAGGUUAGCAAAGAGAAUGAGGGUGAGGAGAUCACUGAGGAACAUUCUACAGCUGAGCGAGGAAAGAGAGUAGGAAAAUAAUCAAUCUAGCUGUAAACGAUUUUAUUUUAUUACAUAUGUGAAAAAAACAACAACAGUCAAAAACGAAAAUUAAAACUGGGUAAAAAUAUAUGUAAGCAUUUCAAAAAUUGUAAAGAAAUUCAGAAAUAAAAUAAUAAAACUUUAAUCCCAUAAUAAAAUGUAAAAAUAAUAAUAAUAAUAAUAAUAAAAAUAAACCCAUAUCAAAAUAAUGACAAUAAUUACUAGGUCAGUCAAAACAAAUCACAAAAAAAUUUAAAGAACAAGAUAUUAAAAUGACCAAUACUUGAAACUCAUUUCCAAACACCAGAUACUAGAUGUGGCAAUCACAGACAAUCAAAACACAUUAGACUUCCCUACAUAUUGAAAAGGAACUUAAAAACACAAUUAAAAUCAUUAAACCCAAAAAAAGCACCGUGGCCCAGCGCCGGCGCUGUGGUGGGGCAUUC
ensembl:lncRNA